GUUUCUAUGGUGUAUGUAAGCACAUUAGAUUUUCACUCUAAAAGAGCAGAAAUAAUUUGCUAGAAAUU
rnacentral:tRNA from 1 species